GUGGGUGUAGCUCAGUAGUGGAGUGCAUGCUUAGCAUGCACAAGUUUCUGGGUUCAAUCCCCAGUACCUCCA
rnacentral:tRNA from 1 species